rnacentral:rRNA from 1 species
CAGUAGCCGCGGUAAUACGUACGUCACAAGCGUUAUCCGGAUUUAUUGGGCGUAAAGCGCGUCUAGGUGGUUAUGUAAGUCUGAUGUGAAAAUGCAGGGCUCAACUCUGUAUUGCGUUGGAAACUGUGUAACUAGAGUACUGGAGAGGUAAGCGGAACUACAAGUGUAGAGGUGAAAUUCGUAGAUAUUUGUAGGAAUGCCGAUGGGGAAGCCAGCUUACUGGACAGAUACUGACGCUGAAGCGCGAAAGCGUGGGUAGCAAACAGGAUUAGAGACCCCAGUAGUCCCUGUCUCUUAUACA